AUUAAGCCUAUCACAUCUUGUACUAAAGUGACAAUUUUAACCUUCUUAUCAUGACAAAGUUUGGUAUAUUCUCUCUUCAUUACUGAUACAAUUUUUAACUAUCAGGUUCAGAUUUGAUGAGACAUCAAUAAUCUAUUCAAUGUGGGACUUCAUCAUAACCUUAUUCUUCUCAAUACAACUAAAAUGUGUUUAGUUUAAGUUGAUUUUGUUGGCCAACAACUUUCACAUAUCAUCUGCAAUGUUUGAGCAAAUGGAGACCUACAAAUUUUGGAACUUGUUUUUCAGUUAAUAUGUUCCUAUUUUCACCAAAUAAAAAAAAAAUGCAAUCAUUUUUUUUUCUUUUUAAUACAAAUUUCA
rnacentral:misc_RNA from 1 species